AACGAACGCUGGCGGCAGGCCUAACACAUGCAAGUCGAGCGAGCAUUUCGGUGCUAGCGGCGGACGGGUGAGUAACGCGUGGGAACGUGCCCUUUUCUGCGGAAUAGUCCUGGGAAACUGGGGGUAAUACCGCAUACGCCCUUUUGGGGCAAGAUUUAUCGGAGAAGGAUCGGCCCGCGUUGGAUUAGGUAGUUGGUGGGGUAAUGGCCCACCAAGCCGACGAUCCAUAGCUGGUUUGAGAGGAUGAUCAGCCACACUGGGACUGGGACACGUCCCAGACUCCUACGGGAGGCAGCAGGGGGGAAUCAUAGACAAUGGGGGCAACCCUGAUCUAGCCAUGCCGCGUGAGUGAUGAAGGCCUUAGGGUUGUAAAGCUCUUUCAGCUGGGAAGAUAAUGACGGUACCAGCAGAAGAAGCCCCGGCUAACUCCGU
rnacentral:rRNA from 1 species